rnacentral:lncRNA from 1 species
CUGAGCUACCGAGCUGGAUAAAUAUUGAACACAACCUCUGGGAUCUUGUGAUCUGGCUUUCAAAGUGCUGGUGUUUGAACUCCGUGACCUUGCACAUGCUAACUACAUGUCUCACCAGUGAACUGCACUCCAACCCUCUGUGCUUCACUUCCCCACCUGUCAAGCAGGUCAACUUGAAAAAUUUCUAGGCCUGCUAUUUUAAAAAAGAAUCAAGGAAAGAAUAGAAUGGAUCAUAUGCUACUGAGUAAGUGGGAUACAGAUUCACAACUGUGGCAAUAACAAAUGUGGAAAAGCAAUAUUAAAGAUAUACAUGGGAGAUUAAGCAUCUAACCAACUUGAGGACCUGGUUGAAGAAUGAGAAAAAAUAAGCUGAAAUAAUUCAAGGAAGCCUUUACUUCAUUCAAGGAUGAAUUAUUUGAAUGCCAGAUUGGAGCUGAAUCUGGUUGGUUGAAACCAAGGAUGCAGCACCUGUGGACACAGAGGGUCAAUAAUGCUUCCAUUUAUAAAGGAGAAUAUCAGAUCCGUGGAUUUAACUACUACUUUAAGGGUUUUGCUAUGUCCCUAAGUUGACUCGGCUGGACUUGAACUUGGC